UACGAAGGGGGCUAGCGUUGCUCGGAAUCACUGGGCGUAAAGGGUGCGUAGGCGGGUCUUUAAGUCAGGGGUGAAAUCCUGGAGCUCAACUCCAGAACUGCCUUUGAUACUGAAGAUCUUGAGUCCGGGAGAGGUGAGUGGAACUGCGAGUGUAGAGGUGAAAUUCGUAGAUAUUCGCAAGAACACCAGUGGCGAAGGCGGCUCACUGGCCGGAACUGACGCUGAGGCGACGA
rnacentral:rRNA from 1 species